CCUACGGGGGGCUGCAGCGACGAAUCUUCCGCAAUGGGCGAAAGCCUGACGGAGCGAUGCCGCGUGCGGGAUGAAGCGGCUUUGCCGUGUAAACCGCUGUCAGGGGGUAGAAACACUGAUCACCCCCAGAGGAAGGGCCGACUAACCCUGUGCCAGCAGUCGCGGUAAGACAGGGGGCCCGAGCGUUAGUCGGAAUCACUGGGCUUAAAGGGUGCGUAGGCGGACCGUUAAGUGUCGUGUGAAAGCCCACUGCUCAACGGUGGAACCGCACGGCA
rnacentral:rRNA from 1 species